AGCAAUCCCCCGGUAGGGUGGCGAACGGGUGAGUAAGACAUGGGAAUCUGUCCCGGAGAUGGGGAUAUCCUUCCGAAAGGAGGGUUAAUACCGAAUACCGUCCGGUGGACGAGAGUCCAUCGGGGAAAGGGAGGCCUCUGGCAACAUGCUUCCGCUCCGGGAGGAGCCCAUGGCCCAUCAGCUAGUUGGGAGGGUAACGGCCUACCAAGGCGAAGACGGGUAGCUGGUCUGAGAGGACGAUCAGCCACACUGGCACUGAGACACGGGCCAGACUCCUACGGGAGGCAGCAGUGAGGAAUUUUGCGCAAUGGGGGCAACCCUGACGCAGCAACGCCGCGUGUGGGAAGAAGGCUUUCGGGUUGUAAACCACUUUUGUAAGGGACGAAGUCCCUUCGGCAAAUAACCGAGGGGGAUGACGGUACCUUGCGAAUAAGCCACGGCUAACUCUGUGCCAGCAGCCGCGGUAAGACAGGGGUGGCAAGCGUUGUUCGGAGUAACUGGGCGUAAAGGGUCUGUAGGUGGUUUUUCAAGUCUUUGGUAAAACGCCGUGGCUCAACCAUGGUUUGGCCAAGGAGACUGGGAGACUCGAGGCUGGGAGAGGGAAGCGGAAUUUCUGGUGUAGCGGUGAAAUGCGUAGAGAUCAGAAAGAAGGCCGGUGGCGAAGGCGGCUUCCUGGAACAGACCUGACACUGAGAGACGAAAGCGUGGGGAGCAAACAGGAUUAGAUGCCCUGGUAGUCCACGCCCUAAACGAUGGGAACUAAGUGUGGGGAGCAAUCCCCGUGCCGCAGCUAACGCAAUAAGUUCCCCGCCUGGGGAGUACGGCCGCAAGGUUGAAACUCAAAGGAAUUGACGGGGGCCCGCACAAGCGGUGGUGCAUGUGGUUUAAUUCGACG
rnacentral:rRNA from 1 species